CGACUCGGAUCUCGGAUCUGACGCCACGCCCGUCCACAUCGAGGGGGCGGCCACUCAGUUCACAUUGAGGACUGGUCAAACAGCAUUUCUGAUCCCGUUUCUGACCUGAAAUUAGCUGAAAUGUACCUGAAAUUACCUGAAAUUAGAGUGUGCCCGCCCGAGCGAGUGAUGCCUAAAACAUGCAAAGACACGUCAGUGUAAUUGUGGAUGGCGAGAGCCCUGAAAUACAGCUGGACAGCAGCGGUCUACAUCACUGCCCCUUCUGCAGAUACAAAGGGUAAAAAUGUGAUAUCGACCAUCACAUUAAAUGGCAUGCCUCGGUUAAAUACAGAGGUCUGCAGAGGAGCUUUCAGGAAGCAGGAAGAGAAGACGGGAGGAAAAAAAGCUACAGACAAAACUAAAGACCAGGAACUGAAACCUGGGAACCUGGAAGAUUAUGUUGUCCUGAAGGACACAAUUCAGGCAGCAGCAUGGUGCCAUUUACAGUCCUUCAAGGACAGCGUUUCUCUCCCAGAGGUCAUUGGGAUGGAAGGUUGGGAGCAUGGCAGCAUCAACACAGCGCAAAUCCCAUGACGGCGGGGAUGAGGAAGAAACGUGGAAACCAUUCCAAUUCUCGUUCAGAUUACAUACUGACUAUGAACUGUUCGGUGUGGAGAUGUUGGACAGGAGAAACCUGAAGGUGUUUGCCUCUUUUGAGUCAAACACCUCUCCCCCUCCCCGUGACGCCUGCGCCACACGACUCCAAUGUAGUCUGAUGAUGCAGCAUAAUGGCGGCGCUUGGCAGCUAUGGCGGCGGUGACGGCGAUGUCGGGCGACAGAGCGUGAAGCAAGAGUGGCGUCCACCUCACUGAGGAAGGCGUCAGUGUGUUCCCCCCCCUCCCCCCCCCCCGUUGAGGGCUUUGUUUGUUCUACUCUUUAUUGAUUUAUCUUUUAUGUUAAUAGUUUACAAUCUAUUUUUUGUAGUUGUUAUUUUUUAAUUGUUUUGUUGAAUAAAAAGACUGUUGUUAGUGCUCCUGUGAUUGGUGUAACUUAAUGUGCUUCACACAUGUAGCUUUUCAUUAUGUCUAUUGAGGUACAUUUAUUGCCCUUAGAUGUGGUCACUUCGUUAUUCCUCACAUUACAUCUGUUAAGGUCAUACCUUUGGGUCCCAGUCUUCAUAGUUCCCCAAAUCUUAUUUUGGCUCUUACUGGGCCUGUAACUCUCACAGACAGACGGGUACAGGAGUUCGGACACGUUGCAUUGUUUACAGGCAAGGGUGGAUUACCGCACGGGCACACCGGGCACAUGCCCAGGGGCCCAAGGGCGGCCCUAAGCCAGAGCUUCUGUGUGAAGUCGCUGUUAGUAACUUUUAAUCAGUGGUGUAUAAAGUACUCAAAAGCCAUACUUAAGUAAAAGUACAGAUACCUUACUGGAAAAUUACUUAAGUAAAAGUAAAAGUCACCUUUUAGAAUAGUACUUAAGUAAAAGUAUUAAAGUAUCUGAUCUUUACUGUACUUAAGUAUCAAAAGUACUUUUCUGAUAUUAAAUGUACUUAAGUACUGAAAGUAAAAGUACAAGUAACUGCUGUUAAUAAAAAAGCAAAGGGUCAGAAUUUUGAGAAUAAUGGAGUUUAUUUCAACUAACACAAACACAAUAGGCAAAACUCCACAAGGCCAUAAACACUUCCGGUCCAACCUACCUCCAGGACCUCCUCACCGCUCAUUUUAAAUCAAGGACACUCAAACCUCCUUGCAGUGUUAAAGUGUGCUAUACAAAUUCAAUUAAUUAUUUAUCAUUAUUAAAACAGCACCGAAAGUGUGUGUGUUUGUGUGUGUGUGUGUGUGUGUGUGUGCGUGUGUGUGCGUGUGUGUGCGUGUGUGUGUGCGUGUGCGUGUGUGCGCUGGUACACGUUACUUAAUAUUGAUUUUGGUGUCAUCCAGGAUCGCGGAUUUUCGGAAAACUUAAGUCCCUGCCCAAAAAGGGUAUUUAAAUUAGCUUUGUAGCAAAAAUGGCACAUAUACAGCGUAUUGAAGUGUAUAAGAUAGUGUUGUAAUACUGCGUGUACAAACCAGCCUGAUACAAAUAGUAGAAUUUUGAUAGCCCUUGCCCUCGUCCUAGCCAUGCAUUUGUGUGUUGACAGUCGUAGGAGUUUUGAUCGACGUAGCAACAGUAACUAAGCAAGGGGGCUUUGCGAACGUGCGCUGGGACAGCUGAUUCGCCAAACAGGCUCGCAGUCUGUGUUCUACCACAGUCCCCAACGUUAUUCUCAUAUCUCUCAUGAUUCUUUUUUUUUUUUCUAAAGAUGAGUUGAUUUUGUAACGAGUAACGAAGGUUUCAAGGGAAAUGUAGCGGAGUAAAAGUAUCCGUUUUCUUCGCAAAAUGUAGCGAAGUAAAAGUAAAAGUACAGAGAAAUAUAAGUAGUAAAGUAAAGUACAAAUAUCCAAAAAAACUACUUAAGUACAGUAACGAAGUAUUUCUACUUCGCUACUAUACAACACUGCUUUUAAUGUUGCAUUGUCAAAGCAAUCAGUAGAGAAACACAAAAAUUCAAGCGAAAACGGCAAUAGUAGGGCUAUUAAUACUGAGUAAAAAAAAAAAAAGAUCACUAGGGGGCACUAUUUCACUUAGUGAAUUUGAGACAGGUCACGAACAAGGCACUGUGAUUUAAACAUGGAGCAACGGCGAACGGUAGUAACGUGAACUCCUAAGUGGAACCUUAAUAGGUCCAUGAGUGGAACAGUUAAGCGAAAAAAAAAUAAACAAGAGAAAAUGUAUUUGCAAGUCGUUUAGGCUAUGCUUAACUUUAUAAUAGUUCCAUGGUACGCAGCAAGAAAGAUACCCAGUCACAAUACUCCCGUACCAUCUGUUUGUAUAAUUUAAUUAACAGCAUGGGCUCCCGCUAGCUUAACAUAGUAUUACCGUUUACUCUUGCAUUAACAAGAGCAGCGGAAAUCUGCUCAAUCGUCAAUGUGGUCGGAGUGCCCGCCCGAUGUGGACUGAGUGCCCGCCCCCUCCAUGUGGGCGGAGUGCCGGCCCCCUCCAUGUGGACUGAGUGCCCGCCCCCUCCAUGUGGGCUCCGUCUGCGGGCUGCAGUCAGGGGUACUUGAACGAUCCCGAGAGCUGCCAUUAUUUAACACACAGCCGCAACACACAGCGCACCGCACACCCAACCAACGGACAUGCAAGUCUCGGUAACGGUGGCGGCAACACUACACACAAUAAACAACACACAAACAAUAAAGACCCCAAACCCGUUAACCCCACUUAACCUAACAGAUACAAAUUGACAAAAGGCAAUAAACCCCUUUUUCCCAACCGGCAUCACGAAUACCCAGACUCCCCGGGGGAUAGGAGUCGCCACAAUAUUUACUAUCUGAAAAUUCUGAAACCCCGUAUUUUCCAAAGUGUUGAAAUGCGCAUGUGCACCGUAGUUGACCCAGCCUCAGACAGAGUCUGACUUAAACCCGUGUGUCUUGCUAACAAAGAUACUACACUGAGCCCAACUCUUGACCCAAAACUCAACAUUGUUGGUUGGACUAAAUUGCAUUGCACAGUUGACAUGAAUACUUAAUGUUUUAUAUUAAUUUUACUCAGAAAUCAUAAUGAGACCAACAAUUUUAAGUUUCGUUUUUACUGUGCGCUGUAAAAAAUAAAAAGUUGGGCAAACUCAAAAUUGCAAGGCAACUUACUGCAAUCAGUUUUUGAGUUUUGAGCCCAUCAAAAACGGGAUUUUCUACUUUAGACAAACUUGAAAGUUAGAGUUAUACAAACUAAG
ensembl:lncRNA